rnacentral:rRNA from 1 species
UAGGGAAUCUUCCGCAAUGGACGAAAGUCUGACGGAGCAACGCCGCGUGAGUGAAGAAGGAUUUCGGUUCGUAAAACUCUGUUGUUAGGGAAGAAAAAAUGUAUAGUAACUAUAUACAAAAGAGACGGUACCUAACCAGAAAGCCACGGCUAACUACGUGCCAGCAGCCGCGGUAAUACGUAUGGGGCGAGCGUUGUCCGGAAUUAUUGGGCGUAAAGGGUACGUAGGUGGUUUUUUAAGUCAGGUGUCAAAGCGUGGAGCCUAACUCCAUUAAGCACUUGAAACUGAAAGACUUGAGUGAAGGAGAGGAAAGGGGAAUUCCUAGUGUAGCGGUGAAAUGCGUAGCUAUUAGGAGGAAUACCGGUGGCGAAGGCGACUUGCUGGACUUUUACUGACGCUCAGGUACGAAAGCGUGGGGAGCAAACAGG